AAUAGAUACCCUGGUAGUCCACGCCCUAAACUAUGUCGACUAGUUGUUGGGGGAGUCUGUCCCUCAGUAACGUAGCUAACGCGUGAAGUCGACCGCCUGGGGAGUACGGUCGCAAGAUUAAAACUCAAAGGAAUUGACGGGGACCCGCACAAGCGGUGGAUUAUGUGGAUUAAUUCGAUGCAACGCGAAGAACCUUACCUACCCUUGACAUGCCAGGAACCUCUCAGAGAUGUGAGGGUGCCCGAAAGGGAACCUGGACACAGGUGCUGCAUGGCUGUCGUCAGCUCGUGUCGUGAGAUGUUGGGUUAAGUCCCGCAACGAGCGCAACCCUUGCCAUUAGUUGCUACAUUCAGUUGGGCACUCUAAUGGGACUGCCGGUGACAAACCGGAGGAAGGUGGGGAUGACGUCAAGUCCUCAUGGCCCUUAUGGGUAGGCUUCACACGUAAUACAAUGGCGCAUACAGAGGGCUGCAAACCCGCGAGGGGGAGCCAAUCCCAAAAAGUGCGUCGUAGUCCGGAUUGUUCUCUGCAA
rnacentral:rRNA from 1 species